ACCAAGUUAGCUUAAUUGGGAAAGCAGAUGCCUUGUAAGCAUCCAGAUGAAUGUUCAAAUCAUUUACUUGGUA
rnacentral:tRNA from 1 species